rnacentral:rRNA from 1 species
CACGUAGGGGGCGAGCGUUGUCCGGAUUUAUUGGGCGUAAAGAACUCGUAGGCGGUUUCGUAAGUCGGAUGUGAAAACUCCAGCUCAACUUGGAGACGCCAUUCGAUACUGCGAUGACUUGAGUCCGGUAGGGGAGUGUGGAAUUCCUGGUGUAGCGGUGAAAUGCGUAGAUAUCGGGAGGAACACCGGUGGCGAAGGCGGCCCCCUGGUUGGAUCACUGACGCUGAGACGCGAAAGCGUGGGGAGCAAAACAGG